CCAAUCUAGUCGAGAGCAAGUGAAAAUAAUCGGAAGGAAGUGCGAUGAUGAGGCAGAAUAAAAAAAGAAGCUUUUUUUCUCCCCCUUUUUUUUUUGCUUGUUUGUGAGCUUCACUCAUUCAAUCAUGUGCAAUUUGCCAGGGUAAUUGAGGUGGGGCGAAUAGGAAAGAGUUAAGCAAUUAAGAGUUCACGGGUCGCAGCUGUGUUCUGACACGCCAUCAUUAGUUUUCUGACGAUCUGCUUUUUUUUGUUUCCUCCCUCAGGUUUUCUCAGGCCAGGAGAGAGUUUCAGAUUAGAACAUCUGGAGUUUCAUGUUGAAACGGCAUCACUUUCCCACCGAGACCCGAGUGAAGCCAUUAAGGCCAAUGAAGACAGAAGAGCAAGUUUGACUGCGCCGACACACGCCGUGUUUCGCGUGGCGGAUGUGUGAAGAAUGAUGAAGAGAGCGACGAGAGAAAGACAGCGAGAGGGAAGGGCUGAGGGAGGAUUGAAUUAGGGCUGACUGAAGCGUGAUGAGAGAAAACAGAGGGACCGAUAAUGAAGGAAAAUAAACCUUAUUGGUCGACUGGCUGGGAGGACAAAGAAGUGAGGGAGUUGAUGGACACAGCUAGAAAAAUAGCUGCCCUCACACAGAAAUGCCGUCACUGCAGAAAUCCUGGCUUUUGCUGGAAGACUUGCACAUGAUUUCAUACAGAAUGAUGUUGUUUUACCUACUACAUGUGGGGAAAAUUCACC
rnacentral:lncRNA from 1 species